UACGAAGGGGGCUAGCGUUGCUCGGAAUCACUGGGCGUAAAGGGCGCGUAGGCGGACUCUUAAGUCGGGGGGUGAAAGCCCAGGGCUCAACCCUGGAAUUGCCUUCGAUACUGGGAGUCUUGAGUUCGGAAGAGGUUGGUGGAACUGCGAGUGUAGAGGUGAAAUUCGUAGAUAUUCGCAAGAACACCAGUGGCGAAGGCGGCCAACUGGUCCGAUACUGAC
rnacentral:rRNA from 1 species